UCGAAUGGGGAGAUUCAUCGUCAGCGAUUCCGGUACGUGUGCGGCUCGCGAUGUCCGAGACUUCGGUCUCGCGGCACGCGUCCGCAUGUUUUUUAUUGCUGGAAUCGUCGGCGUGCACUUCUCCCCUAGUAGGACGUCGCGACCCGUUGGGUGUCGGUCUACGGCACGGUAGGUAGCCUGUCACGUGUGCGCUUCACGGCGUUACGCGGGGCAGACCUCCGUUCGCCCGACCGGCUGCUCGGCGGUACUCGCAAGGUAUCUGGCCGCAGACAUACGAACUGCGUCCGGCCCGUCGCAAGCGCGGCAAGUGUUUCCCGGCUGUCACGGAUCUAAUGCCGUCACCGGGCCUUGCCAGCUGUUGGUUGACGGUGUCCUAGGACUGGCUAACAAAAUUAUGAUACCGGUCGGCGACGCUACUGCUUUGGGUACUUUCAGGACCCGUCUUGAAACACGGACCAAGGAGUCUAACAUGUGCGCGAGUCAUUGGGAGCUAUUAAGCCUAAAGGCGCAAUGAAAGUGAAGAUCGGCCUCGCGCCGAUCGAGGGAGGAUGGGCCGCGUCACGAUUCGGUCCCGCA
rnacentral:rRNA from 1 species